rnacentral:lncRNA from 1 species
GAGCAGAUGAAAUUCCCCCUGAGCAAAAUAAUGAGGUUAAUAAGAAUAGCUGUGCCUCCCCAAUUAGGGAACACGGGAGGCAUGCAUAUUACUGCCUUGGCAAAGGAGACCGUGAUGACCAGCUGGGACUGGUGGUUUUAGGGAAGCUGUAAUAAGCAGAUCAAAGUGUCUUUGUGUAGUAAAUACAUGCCAGUGCGUGGAGGGGAGCAUGCAGGCAAGCUCUUCUGUGCUUCGAAUUAUGUGGUAAAAGAAGCCAUUGCCUAAAAAGGACAACAUUUUGCAGUCUGCAGCUGUGGCUCUUGUGCUUCUCAAGAAACCUUGCAUGAUCCUCAGAACAUCUCUGGGUGGUGGUCAUGUAAUCUGAUAAAAUGUCAUGGUUGUUCUCACAGCUAUGAGCAAUGGGCUAUGACUGCAGUGUGAGGCAACAACAGGAGCAAGGAGCUGGGAUUCAGGGAGCUGCACCAGCUGCACGUGCCUUGGCCUGCGGUGCAGCAAAGCUUGGCUAAAAAGAUGCUUUCUUCCCACAUCUGCGGUGUCAUGCAGUCAUGCCAUGCUUCAGCUCCCUCCUUCCCCCUCACAGAAUCAAACCGCUCACAACUGUGUCAGGUCCUGGCCUCGGGAGGAGCUCAACUGGGAGAACCUUUGGCAAGGAGAGAUGAGAGGAUUUGCCUAAUGAAAUUCCUCCCGAGCCUGCGCUUGAACAAGUCCUUGAGACAAAUGAGGAUUCAGUGUUUCAUCUGUAGUGGAUCUGCUUAAAAUAGUUUCCUGGGGAAGAAAGACAACUGCUCAUUUCCCGAGAUCCCACUGCGCUGCGUCCUACACCAAGCAGUCACAGGGGCAGAGGUGGGCAGCCAGGGAAGUUGUAUCUCAGUAUUUAAAAUGAGACAAGCCUGGGUUCUGGGAGAUCUUUCUUUUUGACAUUUUUGAUUUCAAAAAAGCACCAGAAGAGAUGGAAUAUUUUUCCUUCGACUUUACAGUAAAAACUAGAGUUGUG